rnacentral:lncRNA from 1 species
AUGAAGUUCGCUCGUGCCGGAUUCGUUUUGCUCAUCUUUCUGUCCGUCGGACGCUCCGCUCCUGUGACCGUCUGCGAGAGCCUGACCCAAACUCUUCAGAUCAGGAGAGAUGACCUGCUGGGGAAAUGGUUUCUAAUAGCAGAAAGCACCAACAUCAUGGGAUAUCAGCUGCUGACGAACGAGCUUGUGGACAACUCCUGGGCAAAUUUUGUCGCAGAAAGCGAGGAUGACGGUCUGAAGGCUCACAUCCACUUGAAAAUGUUGGGCAGCUGCUUCUCUGCGUCUCUUUUUUACUCCUUGGUAAACAACUCCAUCACUAUGGAGAGACCCUAUCAUUCUACCGGUGUGAUGCUCAACACCGGCUGCCCCGACUGCCUUGUGUUUUCUUUUAAAUUCACCUUUGGGAGAAACUCUCACGCUGGUGUCCAGCUCCUGAGUAAGAGCAAAGACACACAGACUG